AGUCGACGAGAAGUUACCUUCGGGUAAUGGACAGUGGCGGACGGGUGAGUAAUGUGUAGAGAAUCUGCCCUUGAGCGGGGGACAACAGCUGGAAACGGUUGCUAAUACCCCAUAUGAUGCCGGUUGUGAUAUCGGUAUUGAAAACUCCGGUGCUCAAGGAUGAGUCUGCAUCUGAUUAGCUAGUUGGGGGUGUAAUGGACCACCAAGGCGACGAUCAGUAGCUGGUUUGAGAGGAUGAUCAGCCACAAUGGGACUGAGACACGGCCCAUACUCCUACGGGAGGCAGCAGUAGGGAAUUUUGCGCAAUGGGGGCAACCCUGACGCAGCAACGCCGCGUGAUUGAUUAAGCCCUUCGGGGUGUAAAGAUCUGUCAGUGGGGACGAAAUAUGACGGUACCCACAGAGGAAGCACCGGCUAACUCCGUGCCAGCAGCCGCGGUAAUACGGAGGGUGCAAGCGUUGUCCGGAAUCAUUGGGCGUAAAGAGUUCGUAGGUGGCAUGUAAAGUCUGGUGUUAAAGGCAGAAGCUCAACUUCUGUAGGGCACUGGAUACUUGCAAGCUGGAAUGCGGUAGAGGUAAAGGGAAUUCCUGGUGUAGCGGUGAAAUGCGUAGAUAUCAGGAGGAACAUCGGUGGCGUAAGCGCUUUACUGGGCCGUAAUUGACACUGAGGAACGAAAGCCGGGGUAGCAAAUGGGAUUAGAUACCCCAGUAGUCCCGGCCGUAAACGAUGGAUACUAGGUGUUGCGGGUAUCGACCCCUGCAGUGCCGCAGCUAACGCGUUAAGUAUCCCGCCUGGGGAGUACGCACGCAAGUGUGAAACUCAAAGGAAUUGACGGGGACCCGCACAAGCGGUGGAACAUGUGGUUUAAUUCGAAAGCACGCGAAGAACCCUUACAGGGCUUGACAUCUA
rnacentral:rRNA from 1 species